UUUGUCUCGAUGAACAGAUGAGUACAUGCCAGCCAUUUAUCACAGAGAGCCGGGGGAGCUGAGAACCGGUAUAAAUGGGGCAUGGAAGAUGGUCUGGGAGAGCUAAUAUCCGAGGGCUGUGCCUAAGGGUGUUACGUUUCUCCGCGUUAAGGAGACAGUCUUGCACUGGCUGAGCCUGCCUUUGCGAAAAGGCGGGGAAAAAGGGUGGUACCGCGGGUUAACUCCCGUCCCUUUG
rnacentral:ncRNA from 1 species